rnacentral:rRNA from 1 species
AACAAACGCUGGCGGCGUGCCUAACACAUGCAAGUCGAACGCGAAAAUCGGCUUCGGCCGAUGAGUAAAGUGGCGCACGGGUGAGUAACGCGUGGAUAAUCUACCCUUCAGUUGGGAAUAACUUAUCGAAAGGUGAGCUAAUACCGAAUAAAACUGCCUGACCACGGUCGGGUAGUCAAAGAUAGCCUCUGCUUGCAAGCUUUCGCUGAAUGAUGAGUCCGCGUACCAUUAGCUAGUUGGUGGGGUAAUGGCCUACCAAGGCGACGAUGGUUAGCUGGUCUGAGAGGAUGAUCAGCCACACUGGAACUGAGACACGGUCCAGACUCCUACGGGAGGCAGCAGUGAGGAAUCUUGCGCAAUGGGGGAAACCCUGACGCAGCAACGCCGCGUGAGUGAGGAAGGUCUUCGGAUCGUAAAGCUCUGUCGGGUGGAAAGAAUGUAUGGGGUUAAUAGCCUUCAUACUUGACGGUACCACAAAGGAGCACCGGCUAACUCCG